GAUGAACGCUAGCGGCAGGCCUAACACAUGCAAGUCGAGGGGUAGAGGAAGCUUGCUUCCUUGAGACCGGCGCACGGGUGCGUAACGCGUAUGCAAUCUACCUUGUACUGAGGGAUAGCCCAGAGAAAUUUGGAUUAAUACCUCAUAGUGUUAUCGAAUCGCAUGGUUUGAUAACUAAAGUUCCAACGGUACAAGAUGAGCAUGCGUCCCAUUAGUUAGUUGGUAAGGUAACGGCUUACCAAGACAAUGAUGGGUAGGGGUCCUGAGAGGGAGAUCCCCCACACUGGUACUGAGACACGGACCAGACUCCUACGGGAGGCAGCAGUGAGGAAUAUUGGUCAAUGGACGCAAGUCUGAACCAGCCAUGCCGCGUGCAGGAUGAAGCAUCUAUGGUGUGUAAACUGCUUUUAUACGGGAAGAAACCCUGCUACGUGUAGCAGCUUGACGGUACCGUAAGAAUAAGGAUCGGCUAACUCCGUGCCAGCAGCCGCCGUAAUAC
rnacentral:rRNA from 1 species